rnacentral:lncRNA from 1 species
UGUAUUAAUGAGGUAAUAAUUAUUCAUUUAAUCAUUAAAUUAUAGGUUUAAACCAUUUAGGUUUUUCUAUUUUUAUUAGGUAUUUCCAAUUUGGUCCCCUUCUUUUAAAGUCUCUCAAUUGAAUUCUUAUAAGUGCUAAUUUGAAACGAAUUAGCCCCUACGGCAUUUCUCCCUCUAUGCUCUGGAAGCACUGCCACACACUGCAGCAUUUCUCCCUCUAUGCUCAGGAUGUAAGUUCCGACACCACGAAGCAUGGACGACGACACUGUUGCUCGCCUCUCCGCUGCCGAAGGUUCUCGUCAUGACGUCGCCGCCGGCAACACUGGUCGUCACCGAAGCGUCACCUUAUUUCUUCUUCUUUCAUCCAUACCUGCGAAGGCCAACCCUUCCUUUCCACUGUUUCCCCCUUUUUUUUUCUAAUGUGCAAGAAGAUUGGAGCAGUGACUAGCAAUGGAGGGUGUUGAACUUGUUUUUUUUUGUGUAUUUUUUUUAGUGCAGUGGAAAUAAAAGAAAAGUGCAGUGAGAGGGAUGAGAAUGAGGUCUUUUGGAGAAGACGAUGGUAAAGGUCGUGCCUCUCUUUUCCUUUUUUUCAGUUCUUUUUUCUCUGCUGCAUCAAAAGCUUGUGUCUUUUGCAAUUGUUAUUUCACAAACAUUCACAGAAUUCAUUCAUUCCUUCAUUACCGAACAAUAUUUGCUCUGUCAGCAUGUCUCAGACUAUCUGGGAAGCUCUCUUCCCUCUCUUUUUCUUUUCCCCCCAAACCCUGGGUGAUAAAUUUGUAAUCCCUAAUUUUUUUUAAUCCAAAGAAAAAAAAAUUCCUUGUUGAUGUCUCUGUUGAUCUGUAAUCAAUAUUUAUGUUUGUUGUUUUUGUGUUCAUCUUCUCUCUCUGUUGUGUCUCUCUGGGAAGAAGAUUUAUGAGUAUUAUUUCUGGGUAGGAUUUCUCUGCGGUGUUUCUAAUGGAGGAUGAUUUUCUUUUUACAUUUUUAAUCAAACAUUUUUCAAGUCAGAAAAUUCCACCUAACACCCAACUUAUGCCACCUUUUAAAAAAUUGAAACAUCAACACUCCAUCUGUGCAAAAACUUAACACCAUUAACGAUUUUUAACGACAGGGGCUAAUUUGUUUCAAAUUAACACUUAUAAAGACUCAAUUGGGAGAAUUUAAAAGAAAGGGACCAAAUUGGAAAUACCUAACAAAAAUAUGGAUGCC